rnacentral:rRNA from 1 species
CCUACGGGUGGCAGCAGUAGGGAAUAUUGCUCAAUGGGGGAAAGCCUGAAGCAGCAACGCCGCGUGGAGGAUGAAGGUUUUCGGAUUGUAAACCCCUGUUGUUAGAGAAGAUAAUGACGGUAUCUAACGAAUAAGCACCGGCUAACUCCGUGCCAGCAGCCGCGGUAAUACGGAGGGUGCAAGCGUUACUCGGAAUCACUGGGCGUAAAGAGCGCGUAGGCGGGAUAGCAAGUCAGAUGUGAAAUCCUAUGGCUUAACCAUAGAACUGCAUUUGAAACUGUUAAUCUAGAGUAUGGGAGAGGUAGGUGGAAUUCUUGGUGUAGUGGUAAAAUCCGUAGAGAUCAAGAGGAAUACUCAUUGCGAAGGCGACCUGCUAGAACAUAACUGACGCUGAGGAGCGAAAGCGUGGGUAGCAAACAGGAUUAGAUACCCGAGUAGUC